ACCUACAUUGAUGACAGGAGUCUGUCCUAGGCCAGGAGGACCUGAGGCCCACGUUGUGAUUCCCCUGAGAAAUGCUUGCCUCUUGGACUUCAUUUGUGUUGCUGGUGUAAAUUUUGUUGGUUGAAGAUUAUGAAAAUUUAUUGACUUGCUGAAGGCGAUGAAAGGUGGGAGGGAACAGAUGGGGUGGAGGAGGGAAUUUGAAUAUUUAACCAGGUUUCUCGGACAGUGGAGAUAAAUUCUGUCAUAUUAACCUCUCUGAAGCACCCACAGGCUUAAAAUCAGGCUGAUCUGUUCUAUCAAAUGGUGUUUUAGUUCACAUCCACCUUUCACCCCAAUUAGAAAAAGCCUCAGAGGAUGAUGCACACGAUAUAUGUUCGGGAAUCAGCGUGUGACAUGAACUGCAGGGGAGGCGGGAAGCCCAGAAACGGGCAAAAGAUGUUGGUUCCCUGGACGGUGAAAUUUCCCAAAUAGGCCUUUUAAAUGUGGGUCUCAGAGGUUAACUAAACAAAGACAGUCUCGGCAGGACCACACGGGAGAGGAUUUUAGCCUGACUUAACCCACUGAGAGCAGAGUCUUGUUCAAUUUUUAUGGGAAUUUCAACAAGUAACCAAUACAGACGACCUUUCCCUCUUCAUUUUUUUUUUUAAUCCCCUGGGACUGGCUGUCAAUCACCGCUCACCCCAGGCGGCGCGCACUCCCCCACUCUCCUGCCCACCACUCCUCUCCCCGCCCAGCCCGCUGCCCUCUGCCCUCUGCCCUCCUAGUGUUCCCCAUUCCCCUUCUCCAAGCAGGCUCUACUCAGUUUGAACCCAGACUUCGAGGUUUUCCAGCUGCCCUGAAACAGUACCCCAAAAUUUAAAAACAAAAGAACUCGCAAGAAAGAAAGAGACUUAUGAUUGUUCUUUGAGGCCGCCCUCGCCCUACCCAACACACCCAAGCUCACACACACGUCCCAGAAAUUCGGGACCCAGAAACACAAACUUGGAAAACGAAAACGGCAGAGCGGGAGCAGGCCGGCCUCCCGCAGCGGCCUUGCCAGGGAGCCUCGUACGACCUAUGGGCAGAGCCUGGGAAUCCUGGGGAGGCCGUCAUUGGUGCCAAGGCCCGACCAGGACGCUCUGCCCCUUCUUCCCUCGUCCUCUGGCUCCCGUCCCUCUCUUCCCCCGUCCUAGUUGGCAUCCCCCAGGCGGAGGAGAAGUGGGGGCUCAGCAGGAGCAGGCUGGGUGAGCGGGCCCAGCGGGGCCUGUUAAGAGUGCGCCGCUGGUGGACCGCGGCCCAACGAGGGACUAUGGCCCAGCGAGGAGCUGGGAGGCGGAGCAGACCGAGGGGCUGGUAGUCCAAGAAGUUUUCCCGCAGCAUACAAGCACACAACACACCCCCGCGGGCAGCGCAGUCCAGCUUGGGAUGGGGCGUCCAAGGUCCGCGUGCUCAGGGAGGCCCCGCACCCGUCAUUUAUUACAUGGGACUGCCUCGAUACCAGCAUCACUCUGCCCCAGUGUGUGACAGAAAGGAUUUUGUCCUCAACUUUAAUGGCAUUUCUUCUUUCCAUCCCUCUGCAAGCGGACCAUAUUAUCACCAUCACCACCACCAGAGUGUCUGCCAGGAUAUUAAGCCCUGUGUCAUGUGAAUGGAGGGAAGGAGGCCAUGCCCUGGCCGCUCUCUGCUCUCUCUUCUGCAGGGCAGAAUGAACUGAGGUGGACUCCCCCACUAUGCACGGCGCUAGCAGUAAGUAGCACACCAGUCACUUAGCCAGAAUCCCCAGGCCAGCGCUGUUCACUGAUAUUUGUCUACCAUUGGUAGAAGGACAACCCUGGCAAUACCCUAAUAUGAAUAUAUGCAGGAUCCCCACGAGGGAGAGAGCCAACGGAGAACUCAGCUUUUUAGCGGAUGGUAAAAAGUUACCACAUGAAAAACAUAAACCUGUAACUCUGGGAUCUUCAUUACCUUCAGUCAUCAGGGUCUGAAAAACGCAAGUUGUGUGUUUGUGUUUUUCUUUGUCUAUGAAAAUUUUUGUGCUUUUCAAAAAGGCAGUGCUAAGCACAAGACUUCAAGAAAGCCUCAUCUUGUUGCCUAGCCAAAAGAGAGUUCUGUUCCGCCAAACACUAAGUUUGGAUACAGGUGCCAAAGAACAUUAUUAAGAAAGUAUUUAGAAACAAUGUGUCUAGUUUAAGAAAGUGGUUUUCAGUAUUGUGACAAUACAACGUUUUUUUUACAAGGUUGUUUUCUACCACCAUAUUUUAAAGAUAUUUUUAUGAUUUUCGUGUAUACUCACACUUUGCUUGUAUUUUAAAAGGAGGAUAUAUUUGCACUUAUGUAUACUUUUACAGUUUGCCAAACUAUUUUGAUGUAAAAUUUUUUCAAUAAAAUAUAUAUAACAAAUA